GUGGGGUCCUGAGGGGCCUGUCAGGGUACAGGGGUGUGGAUAGGGGUCAGGGCAGUCAGGGGACAGGGAGGAGGGGGGGUUGGAUAGGGGGUGGAGUCCCGG